UUCUAAAAAAAUUAACCCCAUGCUAUUUGGAGAUCUAAAGCUCCACAUAUGCAGUAGUUACUCUUUAGUGUCUAAGAGAGGAUGUGUACUCUGUUACAACAAGGAUUGACCUAUUUUAAAAUAAAAACUGGUACUGCAUGUCAAACUAUAAAAUUUUAAAAUUUUAAUUAUGAAAAUCUUAGUGUCUUAGCUUUCUAAAAAAAUUAACCCCAUGCUAUUUGGAGAUCUAAAGCUCCACAUAUGCAGUAGUUACUCUUUAGUGUCUAAGAGAGGAUGUGUACUCUGUUACAACAAGGAUUGACCUAUUUUAAAAUAAAAACUGGUACUGCAUGUCAAACUAUACAAUUCUAAAAUUUAAAUUAUGAGAAGCUUAGUGUCUUAGCUUUCUAACAAAAUUAACCCCAUGCUAUUUAGAGGUCUAGAGCUCAAGUUAUGCAGUAGUUACUAUUUGGUGUCUAAGAGAGGAUGUGUAAUCUGUUACAACAAGGACUAAACUAUUUUAAAAUAAAAACUGGUACUACAUGUCAAACUCUAAAAUUAUAAAAUUUUAAUCAUAAGUAGGUUAGUGUCUUAUCUUUCUAAUGAAUCUAAUCCCAUGCUAUGUGAAGCUCUAUAACUCAUGUUAUGCAGAAGUUAUUGUUUGGUGUCUAAGAGUGAAUGUGUAAUCUAUUACAGCAAGCAGUAUUAUCCAAUAAUUAUAUUUUUCAUUUUGUAGGUACAAAAUGCAGAAGGAAGGAAUUUUAAAGUAAAAUAUGAGUACUACAGACAAACGUGAAAAAGAUAUCUUCAAUUUUGAAGGUGAAGUGAAAUCAAGUGCUAAAUUACUUAGGAGAUUUCAAAUCAAGCGUGAAAAGGUAUUAGGAAAGACUUGAUAAUGAAGAUCAGCCUUAUGAUGAUGAAGAGACUGAAUGAUGUUACUUACAUGGAUAGAUGACUAGCUAUGCAUAAUAUUCCUAGAUAACACUUUAUAUUGAAAUUUAGAAAUUUUAUGUAAACUUUGACAUCUUUGGAUAAUUUUAUUUGGAGUUUUAUGCUUUUGAAUUGUCAUAUACUUGUAACUAAUUAAUGCAAGUGAAUUUUACAUGUGUUUGGAUUUUAUUUUAUAAU